GACGAACGCUGGCGGCGUGCUUAACACAUGCAAGUCGAACGGUGAAGCGCCUUCCUUUUUGGUGGGUGUGGAUGAGUGGCGAACGGGUGAGUAACACGUGAGUAACCUGCCCCCUUCUUCUGGAUAACCGCAUGAAAGUGUGGCUAAUACGGGAUAUUCUGGGUCUGUCGCAUGAUGGGUCUGGGAAAGAUAUUGUUUCGGUGGGGGAUGGGCUCGCGGCCUAUCAGCUUGUUGGUGGGGUGAUGGCCUACCAAGGCGGUGACGGGUAGCCGGCCUGAGAGGGUGGACGGUCACACUGGGAAUGAGACACGGACAAGACUCCUACGGGAGGCAGCAGUGGGGAAUAUUGCACAGUGGGCGCAAGGCUGAUGCAGCGACGCCGCGUGGGGGAUGGAGGCCUUCGGGUUGUGAACCUCUUUCGCCAGUGAAGCAGGCCUGCCUCGUUUGUGGGUGGGUUGACGGUAGCUGGAUAAGAAGCGCCGGCUAACUACGUG
rnacentral:rRNA from 1 species